CCGGCGCAAUAGGUUUGGGGGGGGGGGUUUAUAAGUAUAAAGUCCAGAAUGGUCUGGUCUGUACCACUUCUUCUUACCUCCCCCCCAACCCCCUUACCUCAGCUUCCAAGAAUUACCCCAAUAUUAGCAUCCACAAUACUUCGGGCCGUACCACCUCUUCCACCUCACCCCGACUCCCAUUUCUACCCCGCCCCCUGCAUCCUGGGCCAUCGCCCGUCUUCCGGGUUUUUGCCUAGCUGUUCGUCUUUGAUGGCUCUGGAAGAGAGAACGAGCCAGACGACUUUGCACAACUCUGCUUCUUUUAAAUCCAAUUCUGAGCGAGUCAAGAUACCAUCUGGUGCUGUCAUUAGACCUCUUCGAAAAGAAAGGAGGAACAAUAAGGUUUCCAAAUAUUUUCAGGAUGCUCCUUAAGCUUUGUCUUAAAUACGUCUGUACCUGUGGUCUGAAUUUCUCAGACCCAACCCACUAAUCGUGAAUCUAAAUUUAAUCCAGUCUCUUCUAUUGACAUUAAAAGACAGGGUUUGAAUCUCACCCAAACUCCUUCAAUUAAUCAAGCCUUACAACAGUUUUCCCAGCUCUCCCUGCCACAGUUGUUGGAAGUUCUCCUUUCCCAAGAGGUAUAUCUCCAUGGCAAUUGUGGGAGAACCUUGACCAUUUUUUCUCUACACUAUUAAGUUUCCUGCCAUUCUUCACUUUGCUCCGGGUGAAAAUGAUGGCUUAUUUAUUUUUUAAAUCUUGCUUCUGGGUUUGCUGCACCUCCUGCUUUAGGAGAAGGUGGGAGGGACUGGGUUCAACAGGAGAGAGCUAACCAGUUUGUUUAAGGGUCAGGGACUAGACCUGUGAUUUCAUUGGAAUAGGGAACUCUUUCUACCGAGUUAAUUUGGUGUAUUUUCUACAAUUUAUAGUCUGAACUAGUCAAAAUGAUAUGUGACUUGUCCAGAGUCACAUAACAAGGAUGUGUCCAGAGCACCAGGCUGCCUCAAUGAUAAAAUCAUAGAUAUUUAUUACCAAAAGCAGGAUAUCUUAAAAACUGUAAUCUCUUCUUGAUUCUAGAACGAGAAGUUAGAUAGUUAAUAGAAAUGGUAACUUGAUCAACUUAAGGUAGAGGAACUAUUUUGCCUUCUAUGAUCAUAAAUUAAGCAGACUGCUGAUCUGAUGGUAAAGAAAUUUUUCUAGAAUACUUACCAGGAAGUGAGAGGUUCUCUUUCUGCCUCAAGUCUUUCUCUGACCAAAGGAUGAUUUGUAUAAAUCUAAUAGUCUAUAAGUGUUCAGUGGACUUGAUGAAAUUACAGAAUAAAGGGGAAUAGGUAACAAUAACAAUGUGAUCUAAAGUGUACUUCUUAUAGAAAAUAAAUGGCCUAUUUACACCUCCUAACUGGACCACUGGCAAUCAAUGGCAAUUGAGUUCCAUAACUUUUUUGCUGGCUUCUGCUGGGCAAUUCCAUAAAAGGCAAUUAAUGAUUGACUGAUCCCAGCCAUAUUCUUUCUGGCCUAGAAAGAAAGUAAAUUGGUUCCUAUUCCGGUCCUAACUAUAUAAAGGUCAAAGAAAAGUCUACUUGCUGUUUUCUCCCAGAAGAACAAAGAAGAAGAUGAAGAGCAGACUCUUCAGCUAUAAAGCUCUCACAGAGAGGUUUUUCUUUUCUUUUUUUUUUAAUGUUCAUAUAUUCUUAUAUCUUGUUAGUUGCAGGAUAGAAUUAGCAUAUUUUGUUGUUGUUGUUGCUUUUCUAUCUAAAAGUCCUAUAGUAAACUUUUAUGGAAUUGCAUUCUGAUAUUUUUUUGUGUACAUCUUCCUUACUUGCAUAAUGGGGGUCUAAUGCACAUGCAGACCUGGGCAGUUUGCUAAAACAAUGUCAAGAUGAAGGACAAGUAGAAAGAUUUUUCUAGAAUAGUGAGAACUGGAACAUGUGAAGACAUUCUACAUUGGCCUGAUACUUUUUCCAUUAGAUGCUUAACCCAAAUUGUCGGCAUCUUCAAAAUGGUCUGUUAGUUUUUGCCAUGGGCUUUAUUGCAUUCACAUUUGAGAGGGAGCAAGGUUAUUAUACUUAGGAUUGGAGAGUUCAUAAGAUAAAAUGAAGAGCCUUAAAGCCUCCUUCCUCAUCACCUUGAGUCCACAUGGCCUCUGAAAAACAGGUAUUUUCAUUUUUCAGUUGCAUGGAGAGGAGUCACCAAUCUAGAUAUAAGCCAUCAGGUUCUAGGAGUUUAGAAAUCCAGGCUAGGUGUUGCAGCCAGCCCCAAAACAAUGCUCUGAAGACCCAAGUUAUGGGACUUAAGCCCCACAGAAGCCAACAAAAAUGCCACCUUUGGAUGUGAACUUGAUGAGACUGAUGCUAUCUGAGAAAUUAGGUAAAUUGUUAGGUUUACCUAACACAUCUACCUCCACCUAAGAUUAAGGUGGAAUAAUGGAAAUUAUGCUCCACAGUUUUGGAGAAAAUACUUGUACUUUGUUCUGUUUAUAUCUUUUAAUUAAAUAUUCCCUUGUAAAAGUUAUCCAGUAUUAAGUAGUUGGAUGGAACUGGGGGUACUAGUCACUAACCCCUAACAAAUAGGGCAGGGUAAAACAUAGGGUGUACUAUUUCUUAUUUCCGGCCUCUUCAAGUGAAAAGAGGAGCCAAACCUUCCUCUGACUAGAUACUUUGUGCCUACCAUCUCCUGCUGUGCAUUGUGUCCCUUGAGGUAAGAUGGCAAAGGACCCGGGAACUAUCUGCUCCAAAGCAAAAUCUUCUAUCUGUGCUAACACAAGACAACUUUCACUUCCUGUUGCCAGACAAAUUUCCUAACCUGGAUGUGGAGAAUAUCUGGUGCAAAUAGAAGUAAACUUCCCUAUGACUUCAGACCUUCCAUUUCUUGUUGUGCCUGUCCCCUGAGAUUCAACUUCUGUCUCCUACUGUGUCUUUUUCUGCCUAAUGUAGAGGGAAGAGAAAUAAUGAAGUAGGAUCUUCUAUAUGAACAUCUUACUAUGUGGCCCUUAUCUUAUAUCAUCUCCAGCCAGAUCUCCAGUUUCUUUGGGGAAGAGAAAUGGCAUUGUACUCUGUGAUGAAUAUUCUCAUUCCUGAUCAAACCCUUUGCUUCAUGAUAAUUCUGAACUUCUGUUGGCCAUCAUCCAAAUUCCAUUUUCUACUCCCUACCACCCAAUUCUUAUUCCCAUCUUGUUCAACCUUUCCACCCCAAAGUUCCAAUCAAAUACCAUUCACUACUUCCUUUGUGCACUCUGAAAUGCCUGUUCUAUAGGCAACAAACUUCUUCAUCCUUAAUUUUUUCUUCUCCCCUUCUUUCCAUCAAAUACCUAUUAAUGAAUGACUCCCCCUUAUCACACAGCCUUCCUGGCCACUUUUUCCAGUAUUGAUUAUACCUUCUUUAAUUUUUUUCCACUAAUGGUUGAGGCAAAAGAAUUGGAAUAUUCCUGGUUCCCCAUUGCCACUUCCAAAUUCUCCCCCUAAAUCUAUCAUUCUGUAAUCUGUCCUCUUCUGAGAUUCAUGUAGUUCAUAUCUACCACCCAAUCAAAAUGCUAGUAGAUAUUUUCUAUUGGCCACUCCUCUUCCUUCCUUAAUGAGCUCAAUAACUGGUUCAUAAUUCUUCUCUCCUCCCAUAUGCUGAGGAAUUUCAACAUACAUAUUAGUUCUCCCUCAAAUAUCCUAACCUUUAGUUCCUCAACUUAUCUAUUCUCUAUGACCUCCAUUCCAUCUUAGUCACAUACAAGGAUGAUCAUACCCCUGACCUUGCCCUCACCCACAAAUAUACCACUACCAUGUUCAAGACUUCUGAAAUCCCCUUAUCUAACCACAAUCUAUUGCCUUUUUUACCCACCCUGCCCCCUAUCUUCCCUUACAGGAUCCUAUACCGCAUCCACAUCAUGAUCACUAAUCCCUCAACCCCAGUCUCCCUCCCAGGCCAUCAGCCUAUGUAUUAGCCAUUUUCUCCUUUUUUUCCUUAUCUUGACCCCUUUGUGAACCAGUUGAACUCUACAUAGUCGUCUUCUCUUGAAUACCUAGCCACUUUGUCAUUUUGCCAAUUAAAGUCUUAGCCUUGAUUGCUCCCAUCUCUCUCUACAUUUUUACACAUGUUGUUAAAUAAAAGUGGAAAAAAAUCAUGCAGCUGUUCUGACUGGGUCCAUUACAAAUUUGUUACACGAACUCAGUGGAGCCCUUAUUGCUGCUAGGAAUCUUUUUGUACUUACUAUGUCAGCUCACUAUCCCACUCUCCACAGUGGUUCUUUGAAAACUUUUCAUGUCUCCUCAAAUUUCACAUAGAUCCUCCUGCCUUCUUCAUCUCAGCUGGAAACUUUACCUCAUAUUUUUCUGAAAAUAUUUAGAGCUCCCUUUCCCCUGCCUCUUCCUCAUCUCAUAUCACUCAGAUUUACUCAUUAUUCUGCCACUAUCACCUCCUUCACCCCUGUCUCACAUGAUGAAGUGGUCUUAUUCCUUACAAAAGCUAACCUCAUUUAUCUACUCAAGUGAUCUCCUCCAACAACUGGCUUCUCAUCCUCUCUCUAUCACUUAAUUUCUUCUUUUUUUAAAUAACUCUUCUAUCUUACUAGCAACUCUAAGACAGAAGGAUAAAGGCUAGGCAAAAGUGAUUAAGUGACUUUUCCAGAUCACAGAUCCAGGAAGAGUCUAAGGCCAGAUUUGAAUUCAGGUCCUCCAGACUCCAGGCCUGGCACACUAUUCCCUGGGCAACUUAGCUGCCCCUAUCACUUAAUGUCAAUUCUCUUCUUGUUUACUGGCUUAUUUCCUACUACCUAAAAAUAUGCCUAUGUCUUCCGCAUCCUCAAAAAACCACCAAUAACUUGAUCUUUUCAUUAUCAUUAUCAUCAUCUAUCUCUUCUGCUCUUUUUGGCAACAGAUUGUAUAUGGGGUGAGAGAGAGAUAGGUAGGAGUCUAGAAUGUCCCCUAAGUUGUGAGCCUAAGGGACUGGGAGGAUGGUGAGCCUUUUAUGGUAAUAGGGAAGGUGGUGGGGCAAGAUUUAAGGAGAAAUAUAAUGAGUUUCCUUCUGGACAAACUGAGUUUAAGCUUCUACUGGAUAUCCAAUAUUCUUACAAGAUCUUAUUGCUUGACAUAUACUAUUAUUUGAGUCAAUGAACUGGCCUCCUGGCUGUUCCACAAACAAAACAUUCCAUCUUUCAUCUCUUUAUUUCCCCCUACUUCCCUAGCUUCUUUAAAUCUUAAAUAAUAUAUCUUCUAUAGGAAGCCUUUUUAAUCCCUUGUAAUUUUAAUGAUUUCCCUCUGCUAUACUAUUUCCUAUUUAUCUUGAAUAUACCUAAUUUGUACUUUUGUUGUUGUUGUUGUUUAUUGUCUCCCUCAUUAGAUUCUGAGCUCCUCGAGGGCAGGGACUGUCUUUUGUCCUUUUUUGUAUCCCCAGUGCUUAGUACAGUGCCUAGUAUACAGUUGUUGCUCAGACUGGUAGGGUUUCAAACUAAUGACAGAGAAGAGACAUUUUUAGCCUUUUAGAGUUUUCUGGGACUUUAGCAGGGGAAAUAUAUCAGACCUUUCACUGAGAGAGUGGGCCCAAGAUAACCAUUUUACAUGCAAGAAAAUUAAAAAUUUUCUGACUAGCAAUUUGGCCUUAGGAUUUUCAUUUGAGUAACAUAAUACUCUUUAAUAUUUUACUUCCUUAACAGAAUGGUUUUCUGUUUUCCCCUAUAUGUCUCAGUUCAACUAUUGCUUAACUUUUGGUCAGAAAUCCAUUUUAUGAUAUAUGAUGCCAGGCAGGUCUCUCAAGGAUUCUACUUUUUCAAAUGGAAGAUGUGAUAAGUGACAAUAUGGUAAAGAAGCUUUUUGAAACUCACUCUAGAGACCCUACUCAUCUCUAUAGAAUAUAAAGUAUCAUAUCAGCUAAAGACUUCUAGGUAAGAGUAGCAACUACUACUUAUUAAAUUCUGUGCGAUAUUGAGACCUUUCUCUCAACUUCUACCAGCAACUCAUCAUUUUUGGCCUUUUCCUCUGAAUUCUCAAUAAUUUGAAGAUCUUUAUCCUGUCUUCUCCAUCUCAGUGUUUUCUUCUUCAAAAUAAGCACCCUUAUUUCCUUCAACAUUGUCUCAUAUGUCAUAGCCUUCAGUCCUCUCAUUAUCCUGGUCAGUCUUCUUUAGGUGCUAAUCAACCAGAAAACCAGUCACUCUUCUGAGGCUAGUAAUACAAAGAAAGGCAAAGGGCAAAUCCCUUUUUCUCAAGAAGCCACAGUCUUGAGUUGACACCAUGCAAACAACUACAUACAAACAAAAUACAUAUAGGAAAAUUGGAAAUGAUCAAGGGAAGGUACUAGAGUUCCUGAGAAUCAGGAAAAUCUCCCUAUAGAAGGCCAUAUUUUAUCUGGGACUUCAAAGAAGUCAGGGAAGCCAGGAGGAAGAGAUAAAGGAAAGCAUUCUGGGCAUGAGCACUCAGAGAAAAUGUCUGGAGUAAGGAGAUGGAGCAUAUUGUAUGUGGAAGGAAUAGCAAGAAGGCCAGUAACAUUGUAUUGCAGAAUGUGUGUAUAUGGGAGGGGAGAAAGAGGGAAAGGGGGGUUGUUGGUAAAGUGUAAAGUGAAAGAUGAGAGAGCAGGCUGUGAAGAGCUUUGAGGACCAAACAAAGGAUUUUAUAUAUGAUCCUGUAGGGAGCACCUAGAGGGAGCACCUAGAGUUUAAUGUGUAUGUGUAUUUGUGAAGGGAGAGGGUGAUAUGAUCAGACCUUUAGUUUAGGAAGGUCUUUUAAUUUUGCUUUAGUAAUUGAUAUGAACCUGGAGUGGAAGAGGGAGAGAGAAACGUGGUCCACAGAUCAACCAGUAGGUAUUGGCAACAAUCCAGGCCUGAGAUGAUGAGGACCUAUACCAGGGUGAUCUUAGUGUCAGAGAACAGUAGGGGUCAUAUGCAAGAUUUUUUUUCAAUGUCCUUUGUAAAAUAUGAUUUCCUGAAUUUAACAUUGUCCUGAGGAUGUGGCCUGACUAGGGCAGAAUAUAGUAGGCCAGUCUCAUUUUUCAUUCUAUCUGUUUUGAAUGUAUAUAUGCCUGUAUUUUCAGAGAAACCAUAUACUAAUGUUCUGAAUACACUCUAAAAUUUCAGUGGCUUUUUUGACAGCAAUUCUGUAUCGUCAGUGUCUAUUUAGCUUGUAGUAUAUGAAAACUAUAUAAUUUAUUUUCACAUAAAUUCUUGUCUAAUUAUGACUCUUCUAUCACAUUCUUGUAAUGUUGAUUAAAUUUAGGUUAAGGAAUUUACAUUUAUCCCUAAUAAAUGUUGUUAUUCUUUCAUUGUUGUAAUAUUAUUAAAUUCAGUCUAUUGUCCUAGCCUAUUGAGAUCUUUUUUGGAUAUUGGUUGCCAUUCAUUCAUUUCUAGUUUUGUGUCAUGACAAGUAUCUCAUCUAACAUUACACUUAUGUGUUUGAUAAAAAUAUUGAAUGGCUCUGUGGUAUGAUAUUCUAUUAGAGAACUUGGUACAGGUUCAUUUGUUACAGGUUAACUCUUUUAUUCCUUUAUCCAUUCAACCAGAAGUCAUUUAUUUAAAUCUACCAAGUAUAAGGUACUAGUUAAGAUACAUUAUCAUUAUUCACUACUUCUUAGAUUAGGUUAUUCAACUUGAUCCCAUGAAAACAACAUCUUAGUCAAUUACUUUAUGAUAGACCCUAUUCUAGAUGCUGAACAAUACUAUCAUCCAGCCUAUAUCUCUUCAUCUUCUCCUCAUGGAUAGUAAGACAGACUUUGUGAAAUGCCCUAAUCCAGGGGUGUCGUGUUCUCUUUGUCAAUAUAGCAGGAUUUAGGUGAGGCAGAGCCCGAAGGAUGAAUAAUUGUAUCCUACUAUGAGUGGGAAAAAAAUUCCAUUUUUAUUCUUUCAUCUCAGUCCUAAUGUGGAGUACCAGGUCAUCUCCCUAGUUUCCUCAGAUCCUCAGAAACAGUAGAAGCAGUCAAUAAAGAAGGGGUUACAUACAGCUUGAAAAAGGUACUGGCACUUCCUGGCAUAUUAUCUCUUAUCUCUGACCCAGCAGGGACAUCAGAACUCAUAUUCUUCAUUAGCUUCAUUAGGAGGAAUGGUUUUCCAGGUUUAGCUCCCUCAAAGAACUGAUCCUGACCCCAUGGCCACUAAAAAUUUCAGCCAAGGCUCCUGAAGUGCCUUAUUAGUAACUUUUUCAAAGUGAGAGACUCUCACUGUUCAUUAGCACAAAUAGUUUGUCUUGCAAUGCAAGCAGUAGUUGAAAAAGAGAUAUCAAGAAGAAGUGAUUCAGAGAAGUACAAGUAAGAUCAAAUCAAAAUGUUAAGAAUACUUAUUAAGUGCCUAUUAUAUGCUAGACACUGUUUAAAUUUAUUCUGAGAAUUCUUGUCUCAUUUAGAGCCCAGUAAGGGUGAUCCUAUUCAGCCUAAGCCUGUAGUUAGUAGUUAAAGCCCCUGAGAGUCUCCCCAAUUCCCCUCUAGUUACAGCCAAGAUUCCUACCAUAUCCUUAGGAGUUUCCCAACCUCUUGCUCCCAAUGCCUAGAGACUUUGUUCUGAGUAUCCCAAACCUAAAUGAUUGUUCAGGCUAUCUAAUGGAUUACCUCUUUUAUUGCCUUUUAAAAAAAGCUGUAGAUUUUAUUUAUCAAUGCAAUGGAGUUCUUAGAUGUCAGUUUUGUUAACCUCUUCUUUGACUUUAAGACUUUUUAUUCUAGUGUUUAAUUGGGAUUUUUUACAUUUGUUGUUUUUCUAGAUUGAAAAAAAUUUAAAUUAUAUAUUCCAAUCACAGAUCUAUUUUGUUUCUUUUUGGUUGAUAAAAGCAUUUAGAAAUUCAAUUUUUCCCCUAGGGAUUUCUUUAGCUUAUUCCCAAAGUUUCAGCAUGUUGCUUAAUUAUUGUCAUUUUAUUUCAGAAAAUUCUCUUGUGUUUCUAUGAUUUGUUCUUUGAUCUACCAGGUUUUUAGUUAGUCAGGAAAUAAACAUUAUGUGCCAGGAAUUAUGCUAAACAGUGGGAAUUAAAUUGUUCUCCAAUUAAUUGUUUGUUCUUUCUUCAAAGGAACUCUAUUAAAUAUAUAUAUUUUUGUUAAUUUGUGAGGACAUAUGUCAUAUUUCUGCUUUUCUAAGGUUUUAUGCCCUAUGUACUUGGCCACUUUUUAUAAAUAUUCACAGCCUAGCUGAUAAAUAUGCAUAUUUCAAUUCCAUUUUGCAUUCACCAGAGAUCUAUCACUUCUAAUUUUUCUAAAAUUCUAUUCAUGUCCUUAACUUUACUAUUUGUCUCUUUGUUAGAAUUAUCUAGGUCUGGAAGGAAUACCCUCAGAUCCCUGAUUACUAUAGUAUUGCUUUCUAUUUUUAACUAUAAAUCAAUUAAAAUUUCCUUUAAAUAUUUAGAUUUUGUGCCAUUCAGUUAUAUAUAUUUUCUAAAUUAUAUAAGACAUAAUAAGAACAUGUUAUAUAUGCAUAUGUAUAUGUAUACACACACAUAUAUGUGGUAUAAUAUAUGACAUUAAUUAUCUGUGG